GGAGGGGGGCAGCGGCAGAGAAAGGCCUCGCCCAGGGCUGGGGGCACGUCCCGCUGGCCUCGGCUGGUAUCCCGGGCCACGGGUGGCCUUGGGGCGCGGGGUUGCGCAGUGUCCCUGGGCGUGGGACGCACGGCGGAGGCUCUGGCCCUGGGAGGGCGCCCCAGGGCUCGGGAGGAGCCCCGGACUUCCAGAUUGUUCUGGGACUUCCAGGGCACAGCCCCGGCCGCCGGCACCCGGCAGGUCCCGAAUACCUUGCGUUAACCUCGCCCCUCGCUCCCCUCCACCCCUGAGCGACACACCCCGCAGGACCCCCUAGCUGCCACUCGGGUCCGUUCCCCAGCCGAAUCCGUCAGAGCGGGGUCCAGGACCGGGCUUCGGGAAGGAGGAAGCGCAGGGUCCGGUGAGACACCCCCCCCCCCCCAGGGAACGCGGCCUCGCCAGCGGACGGGGAACAGCUAUUCCAGACGCCUCUGCCUCCGGGAGACGCGGGCCAAGAUGGAAAUGUGUAGAAGCUCUGGGGCCACCGUGGAGAUGUGAGCUGUCAGGGACCGUCUGCGGGUCUAGAAGGUCUGAGACAGUAUUUGGCUGGAGGACCCAGUUGGCAUCUCCGCCCCCAGCCCCAAGCCUGUGCCCCCCGAGUCCUCGCCAGCAGCUGAUUCUGGAGGAGCACCAGGUCUCAAAGCCAAGCAAACAAGCCUCUGGCCAGGAGCUUGCCUUACAGUAAAGGGCUUGAGGGUGUCUUUUCAAAAGUGUGAGUGUGUGAGAGAGUGUGUGUGUGUGUGUGUGUGUGUGUGUGUGUGUGUGUUUCUUAGUGUGGCUUAUAAGGUGUAAAGUUUUAAGUAAAACACCGGUUAAUUUGAAGGAGGACAACUGAGAAAUCAUAAAAUAAAUGACAGUGAAACAAAGAAGAGAUCAAAUAGACUACACUUUUACAAUGAAACUCUAACAAAGAGGUGACAGAAAAAUAAAUGGAAAUGAGUCAAAUGAAAAGUCAUAGGACUAACGAAGAGAAAUGUCAGAUGCAAAUAACUGACAAGUUAUAACUACCAGAAGAGCACGGUUAGCACUAUACACACUGCAACAGGAGAUAAGAAACUGUGUUACUGUUUUAACAAUAGCUACUAAGAUCUUCUGAAUGCUGUGUGAGUAUGCAAUGCCAGACAGGCAUCCAUUUAUUCCUAUCUGUGUCCUAUCCACCCAGUGAAGACUGACACAUGCAGACCAUGUGCUGAACAAAUGAGGGUGGCAGAUGCUGAAAAUGACCUACCUCAAGCCUAACCAUGAUGGUUUGAGGAACACUGUCCACAUUUACUAAACUAAUUCAUACUUGUUAUUAAUACUAAAAGCCCCAAAUCAAAACUUUCUCUUUUCUGGUAAAAGGUCAACUGAAAUCUAAAAAAAAUAUAGAACCUGACUUUUCUAGUAAGUUGUAAUAAUUGUCUCAUGAGAAAUACAAGUUUUAGAACACUGAUCUUCCCACAUUCAUUUUUUGACAUUCCAUUUCUCUGGUGAGAGUAAAAACUGACAGAAAUAAUGUUAUACUGGCAACCACAGCCUGACUACCAGUGAAUACCCCGAUCACAUCUGAUAAGGCAUCUCUUAUCAGGUUUGAUGUAGUUUUCUAAAAUCUAGAAAUAGUUCAGCUCCGCCCCAUGGAAGUGUAAGUUGUUUGAAUACAUCACCACUCUCUGAUGAUGUCCAUUUACUCCCUAUACCUGCCAUGGCUUGAAUUGUGCCCUACAAAAAGGCCUGUUCAAGUUCCUGACCCCCAUCCUGUGAGUGGGACCCUAUUUGGAAAUAGGGACUUUGAGAUGUGAUGAGUCCAGAUGAGGCCCCACUGGAGUGGGGGGGGUCCUCACCGAGGAUGAGUGGUGGACACAGACAUGGGGGAGAUGGAGGCAGAAUCUGGAGCCAAGGCUUGCGGGCAACACCUGUGGCCAGAGGAGGCAAGGAAGGGUUCAGCCCCCUGGGGGUUUCAGAAGGAGCAGGGCCAAGAUGAUGUGCUGAUUUGGGCCUCCAGACUCCAGAACUGUGAGACAAUCAAUUUCUGUAGUUUUAAGCCCUCAGUUUGUCACAGCAGCCCCAGAAGCCACCACAACGCCGUAGGCUGGAACAACAAUCUCCAUGGACCUCAGUCAGAAGACACCAGCAAGCCAAAGGGGAACUGCUGGAGGUAGGGUGCUCCCGUGGCGGGCACCAAUCUCUUCAUUGCUAUUGAUUCUCCCUGCCUCCAAAUUAGCUCACUAGGCCCCGCUCCACCUAGAAUGAAUGGCGGCUGCCUUCUUAGAGUGGAAGUCUCAGCUUCUCACACCAACAUCCUAUACAGGUAAAUGUUACACACAGUGAUUUCAUUUUUCACCUGUGGUGCAAAUUCAUAAAAACAAACGACUGUAGCUUUUACUGAUCUUCACUUAUCCUUUGACAGUGAACAGCAACCAAUCGUGUGCUAAGGUGAAUGUGCUCACUUCAGAUUCCUGGUUACUCAUGUUUAUACAGAGCCUGCAGAGAAGUCAGGUAGAAAGAGUCUCUUGGAUAAUUUUCCGUGCAAUAAAAAAUCUUGCCCAUUUCUUUUAUGUAUUUGUAUCUUAAUAAGCUAGCUAUUUUUCAUUUUACCUAUUAAAAAGCACAUAAAGAGACGCUAUGAUGGGCAGUUAAUGGCUUUCCCAUCACCAAUUACAAGGGACAUCUAGCUCUGAAGGUACAGGAUGAAAAAGAAGAGUUACAGAUAGGCAUUAUUUUAUUAGCACCUAGCUAUUUUUCACUUAUUUAAUCUUGUUGGGUUUUGUGUUUUGUUAAUGAAAAUAAGCUUCAUUACAUCAAUACAUUCAAAGAUACAGUUCUAGUCAUUUUUUUCCCAGAUGUUUUGAUGAACGUAUAAUAAACCCAAACUGAAUUCUACAUAUAGUCUUAGUAUGAAAACUUCCAGGGGGACUUAUUAAGUUUACUAUGUUGCCCUUCCUCCUGUAUUUUUAAUUUAUGCAUUUUUCCUAACUAUUUAAAAUGCAAAUACUAAUCAACCGCACAAUCUUUUCCUCAUCUUAGAGGCUAGGCUGUAGGUUCAGAGCCUAGUGAACUAUGGGAGGGAAAUGGAAAAAAAACAAAUGGUUACCAUUUUGAAAACAAGAGUUUCUUCUGAUGAGGGGAGACAAACUGUAACUUCUCAUCUUGUGAAAAGAUGACAAGCCCUCAAAGCUAACAAGGCGGCUGGAAUCUGGCAUUGUUUCAGCCAAGACUCCCACAUGGGCCUCCAGCACGAAUGGGGACUCGUUUUGGCCUCUCCACGGCACUCUGGCUCCCCGUGUAGGCAGGUCCGAUCUCCUUCCCCAGCUCUUCAAUGGCGGCCAGUAGUACACUGUGUUUUGAUGUGCCUGGUGGUGCUGUAAGGACAUCCCCACAUUGGAAGGAGAGUGAGCACCCCAGUCCUGCUGAAGGAGGCUGUGGUGAGGAAGCUCCGUGGCCCCGGGCCAGGCUACCCGGCACUUUUCGUGGCUGACGGUUCAGGUUGCACCAGCAAACGUGGCUGUCUUCUUAGUUUUUUAAACUGAUGGUUUUCUCUGCUUUAGAUACUUUUACUAUUUUAAUACAGAGAUGGCAAACUGUAUUGACAGUCAUUUAAAUGAUAGGUCAAGACCUGUUUAUUGGGUCAUGAAGGUGACCUAAUUGAGUGGUGAUCAACAAUGCUUUUUUUUUUUCAAAAAAAUAUUAAAUAGAAGAUGUAAAUAUGAAAGCUACUACAGUAAAGAAGUUAACUGAAAUGUUAACCAAAGUAGAAAGACGUAUGUCAGUGAUGAUCAUUCGGGAUUUAGAAAAAUUUAUCUGAAGGCCUUUGAACUGCAAUUAAAUAGCAGAAUCUGCUUCCCAAACAGAACUUAGUAAUAAUAUUCAGAUCUGACACUUGCAUUGCUGUGUGGAUAGGAAGUUUUCUCUGUUUUCAAAAAUGGACUGAUAUCUUUUCAUUUUUUUGAAGGGUACGUUAAGGAGGGAUCUCAAAGAGGAAAGGAAAAGAACUAAUUUAUGCUAGGAGCUAUCUGAAUGAGGAUUCUCGAAGCUUUUCACUACCAGUUUUCCCAGAAGUAAAAUAAGUUAAGAGGCCAAGAAAGAACUUACACCUAACUGACUAUAUGUGAUGUUCUAAGAGACUACUUGCUUCUAUUUUUUUGUAUAUUUCUAAACUGACCAUUUAGAAUAUCAUUUAAGUAUUCCCUUACGAAUGGUAUCUUUACGAGGUUCCAGGUAGUUACAUAGGUUUCACAUUAUAGAGGGAAAUUAACAUUUCUAUAAUACCUGACAAAAUGUUUUGAGCCACUUUCUCACUCCAUUCAGGUAAUUCCUUUGCUUUUUCUUCUGAUACUGGUUCACAGGGUACAAUGUGACUAAGAUUAACUUCUUCACUUGAAGUAUCUUUAGCCUAAACAACAACAACAAACCAUUUCAAAAUGUGAAACAGUUAAGUACUAAAAGGCAGAUGAAACUGUAAGCAUUAUGUAACAAAAUAUUAAGCUAAGAAAUAUUAGAUACAAUUAAUGAAAGUAUCUCUGGCCAAUCGAGUUACUGGUACAUUUUAUAACACGAAGUACGAUACAGGAAUUGCCAGAAAGCUGAAAACCACUCUGGUCUUAUAUAAGCCCCAACUAUUAAGUAAGAUUUAAAUAUCAAAAUACCUCCAAAUGUAGCAUUUAUCAAAUCACAUUUAAAUUGAUGAACUUUUUUCUUUCUUGACUAGACUAUGAGUUCCAUCACAUACCUAUCAUCCCAAGAUACUAGUGUGAGCUUUGUACUUACUACGAUGGAAAGAUAUUGUAAAUGACACAACCAGUAAAGUAGGUGCAUCCAAAUAAACUAAUUUUGAUAGAUAAUCAAGUAAAAAUUUAACUUAAAAUAAAUAAAAAUACAUAAACACUGAAAGACCUGCCACCCUAUUUGAAUGGAAAUAGAGAACACAGAUGAACCUGUACUUUAUUAAUUUAACAGCUACUAGAAGAGCUAGGGGCCAACACCCAAAAUCUCAAAGCCAAAUUCACUCUAAGAACUUUGGAGCAAGCUAACUCAGACCUCAUAAGUAUUAUAAAAUAACUUGAAAAUCAAAGUGCCCAAAAUAAAUGCCCUUAAAAUAUAAAAUAACAUUUAAAUGAACAAAAAACACAUUUACAUGGUGGGGGGAGCGGGGGGUUGUGGGAAGCCACCUAUAAGGAAAAUCUAAAAGACAAAUAACUGGGCAAAAUAUUUGCAACUUUCAUCUUUGACAAAGGACCAAUUUCCCUAUAUAUAAAGAACUCACGGAAACUGAGAAGGAAAGGACUAGCGACCCAAUAAUAAAAAUGGACAAAGGACAUGAAUACACAGAAGAUGAAAUACAAAGGACCCCUGAACAUACAGAAAGCAGCUAAACCUUGUUCAUAAGAAAAUCAAUGCAAAUGAAGAUAUUAUAAUAAACCAUUUUUCAUCUCUCAGAUGGCCAGAACACAGAAAGGCUGGCCACCCACUCUGUUGUCCCGGCCCUCUUGCCCACUGCUGGUGGGAGUGCCGCACUGAAUAAUCCUUAGGAAGGGCAGCUUAUUAAAAUACAUCAGAAUUACAAAUGCAAUUAUCUUGUGAUUCAGUAAUCCCACUUCUGAGAAAUUAUCUGAUCAAUUAUCUGCACAUGUAUUAACCAAUGGAUCUACAAAGUUAUUCACUACAGUAUUAUUUCUGAUAGCAAAAAGUUGGAAAUUGCUCCAAGUAUUCCCAAUAAGAAUUUGUUAAAGAAACUAUGCUAUAUACGUACAAAGAAAUACUAUAUAGCUGUGAAAGUCUGGGGAAUUUUCUAUUUUGUGAUAAGGAAAGAUCCCCAGGAUGUGUUAUCAAAUGAAAAAGGUAAAUAAAAUGUAGAACACUCUUCAUAGUAUGUUAAUGUAGGUGUAAGAAAGGGAGAAAAAUUAUAAUAAGGAUUUAUAUUUGC